AGGUCUGUGAUGCCCUUAGAUGUUCUGGGCCGCACGCGCGCUACACUGACAGAGCCAACGAGUUCUUUUCCUUGUUCGAAAGAAUUGGGUAAUCUUGUUAAACUCUGUCGUGCUGGGGAUAAAGCAUUGCAAUUAUUGCUUUUCAACGAGGAAUGCCUAGUAAGCGCGUGUCAUCAGCAUGCGUUGAUUACGUCCCUGACCUUUGUACACACCGCCCGUCGCUACUACCGAUUGAAUGGCUCAGUGAGGCCUUCGGACUGGCUCGAGGAGGUUGGCAACGACCACCUCAAGCCGGAAAGUUGGUCAAACUCGGUCAUUUAGAGGAAGUAAAAGUCGUAACAAGGUCUCCGUAGGUGAACCUGCGGAGGGAUCAUUA
rnacentral:rRNA from 1 species